GAAAUUGUCUGACUACAACGUGAUGUCACUGGCAGGAUACGCUCUCUAAUUGAACACUGCUUGACAACAGCCCUACAGCUCACACACAGCAGCGGAGACGGAGGCAGACACAAGCUAUGUGAUUUCAGCUUCAGCGGUGGAAGAGUUUGUCCCGUUAUUUUUUGACCAAAAAAUAUCAGCGGAUUUCUCUUGGGCUGCCCUGUUUGUUGUUGGGAACUACCUCAACCUACCUAGCUACGCGAGAGAAAGAAAGAUAGAAACUGCAAAAGAGCCGAGCAUCUGCUAAUUGUCGAUUACCACGGGAGCCAUGGUGGCAGCAGUCCUUAAGUUGUAUUUUAUUGGAACUGCGCUGAGCAUCCUUGCAGUCAUUUUUGGAAUAGUAGACUCAUUUGGUGGUCUGAUGUACACCCAGGACCAUCACUACAUUUCGGACUUGGACCAACAGACACAGAGGCAGCUGUCCUCGAGCAACCACCGGAGAGGAUCGCCCGUGACUAAAAACAUUGGCUCUUAAGGGAAACAUGUGGCACAAUUUACAAAAAAUGGCAGCUGGAUGGGCUUGCUGGCUACUGUGGCAUUGGAUCAAUAGACAGUGAGACUACGUUUAUAAUGACUGGAGAUAGCAAGUAUCCGGAUUGUUCUAUUGCUGAGUAUGGACAUCAAUGCAAUGUCUAACUUUCUAUGCGUUCUGUGUUAGGGUUAGAUAUGGAUGCAUAACCCCACAGCAUGUGUUUGUGUUUGCGCUACUCUUUAUGCUUUAAACACGGUAUCAGCUAAGAUGUGUUAAAGAAACUCCAAAUUGGAUGAGAACUGUAACAUCACUACUGACAAUAAUUAGCACUAAAAUCAGAAUGUUUUGUCUUUGCGAUGUGCGUAUUUUGAGGGUUUUAGUAUUCAAAUAAAAUGUAUUUUAAAAAAAACA